UACGUAGGGUGCAAGCGUUGUCCGGAAUUAUUGGGCGUAAAGAGCUCGUAGGCGGCUUGUCGCGUCGGCUGUGAAAACCUGGGGCUCAACCCCGGGCCUGCAGCCGAUACGGGCAAGCUAGAAUUCGGUAGGGGAGACUGGAAUUCCUGGUGUAGCGGUGAAAUGCGCAGAUAUCAGGAGGAACACCGAUUGCGAAGGCAGCUCGCUGGGACGUUACUGACGCUGAGACGCGAAAGCGUGGGGAGCAAACAGG
rnacentral:rRNA from 1 species